UACGUAGGGUGCGAGCGUUAAUCGGAAUUACUGGGCGUAAAGCGUGCGCAGGCGGUUCGUCAAGUCUUGUGUGAAAGCCCCGGGCUCAACCUGGGAAUGGCAUGGGAAACUGGCGAGCUGGAGUGCGGCAGAGGGGGGUGGAAUUCCGCGUGUAGCAGUGAAAUGCGUAGAGAUGCGGAGGAACACCGAUGGCGAAGGCAGCCCCCCUGGGUCGACACUGACGCUCAGGCACGAAAGCGUGGGGAGCAAACAGG
rnacentral:rRNA from 1 species